rnacentral:piRNA from 1 species
UACUUGAGGAGACGCUGCAUACAGAUUG